AAAGAGAAAGUAAAGUAAAAAAAAACAAAAAAAACCAACAAAAACAAAAAAGGAAAAUCGGAUAGAUUUUUCUGUCAAAUGGCUCCGAUCCAACCCCCGAGAAAAGUUUACACCAGCCUUAUCAAAUGCAGUGAGUACCAAGGAUCGAAGAGCGCGGGAGACGCCGUCCAACUGUAUGCAGAUUUAGUUACUCAACUACAGAGAAAUCCAGGUGAGAGGGGAAACCACCACUGGGGCUGCAUGAGGAGAUCCUCCCCUUGCCCCGUUAGAUUGCCUCUUUCAUCAGCAGCUUCGUCCCCCAGUCCCCCGUUUACCUUGGUACUGGGAUCCGGGUCGGAGCAGACGUGGUUGGCGGCUUCAUCGCUGAGGCCGCUGAGC